CUCGCGACCCGUGUGUGGCGAUCCCUGCCCCGCUCCCCAGCAGGCCUGCGGCCGCCAGAGGGCGACGCCGCCCAGCUUGCGGCUACUCACGUCUCUGCACUGCUGGGUGUCCGCGGCCAGGACGCUGGCGACCGUCUUGGUGACGGCGACAUUGGCAGGCUUGGAGCAGGCGCCGAGAACAGAGUUGGAGGGAAUCAUUGCUGUGAGAAGCUGACAGUGGUGGAUGACAAGCUUGAAUUUCCAGAGGAAAUAGCAUGUCUGUGAAACUCACCCAUGCCAUCUGGAAAGGAAAAAGUUAAGUUGCAUUUCUGCAAUACAUUCUCUCCCUUCCCUGAGAUGCUCCUGGAAUAUAAAGAAAGCAAGUGAGUUGAACUAAUCCUCUUAUAAACAUACUAACGAUAAAUCUCCCAGUAAAACAACAACAAUAACAAUAAAGGUCUUCUGCUAACAAAAGAGUCUUUUCCUAUGUGAAGUUUUAGUAGAAUGUGCUUAAUUGUCUGGAAUUAUUUAUAGUAAGCAAACAGAAGUAUAUGGACUUACGCAUAACGGCUCCUUGGAAAAUGUUAUAUUAUAUAUGUAACUCUUUCUGUAGAAAAUAUCUGUCUCCUUUCA